rnacentral:tRNA from 1 species
GGGGCCGUGGGGUAGCUUGGUAUCCCGCUAGCUUGGGGGGCUAGUAACCCGGGUUCAAAUCCCGGCGGCCCCACCA